rnacentral:ribozyme from 11 species
AGCAAAGAAAAAGAAGAAGGUCAAGAAACAAGGCUCGUAAACAAAAUUCGAGUGUUCUUUCUGGUUUCAAGCUUGUCCUUUUUCUUUUUU